GAUGAAGAACGCAGCGAAAUGCGAUAAGUAGUGUGAAUUGCAGAAUUCAGUGAAUCAUCGAAUCUUUGAACGCACAUUGCGCCAUUUGGUAUUCCAAAGGGCAUGCCUGUUCGAGCGUCAUUUGUACCCUCAAGCUUUGCUUGGUGUUGGGCGUCUUGUCUCUAGCUUUGCUGGAGACUCGCCUUAAAGUAAUUGGCAGCCGGCCUACUGGUUUCGGAGCGCAGCACAAGUCGCACUCUCUAUCAGCAAAGGUCUAGCAUCCAUUAAGCCUUUUUUUUCAACUUUUGACCUCGGAUCAGGUAGGGAUACCCGCUGAACUUAAGCAUAUCAAUAAGCGGAGGA
rnacentral:misc_RNA from 1 species